UACAGAGGGGGCAAGCGUUGUUCGGAAUUACUGGGCGUAAAGGGCGCGUAGGCGGCCUGUUAAGUCGAACGUGAAAUCCCCGGGCUCAACCCGGGAACUGCGUUCGAUACUGGCAGGCUUGAAUCCGGGAGAGGGAUGCGGAAUUCCAGGUGUAGCGGUGAAAUGCGUAGAUAUCUGGAGGAACACCGGUGGCGAAGGCGGCAUCCUGGACCGGCAUUGACGCCUGAGGCGCGGAAAGCCAGGGGAGCAAAACGGG
rnacentral:rRNA from 1 species